UACGUAGGGUGCAAGCGUUGUCCGGAAUUAUUGGGCGUAAAGAGCUCGUAGGCGGUCCAUCGCGUCGGGAGUGAAAAGCUGGGGCUCAACUCCAGUCCUGCUUCCGAUACGGGUGGACUAGAGGUAGGCAGGGGGAGAACGGAAUUCCUGGUGUAGCGGUGAAAUGCGCAGAUAUCAGGAGGAACACCGGUGGCGAAGGCGGUUCUCUGGGCCUUACCUGACACUGAGGAGCGAAAGCGUGGGGAGCGAACAGG
rnacentral:rRNA from 1 species